CGCCCCCCCCCUCCCCCCGGUUUGACACCCCCUCCCGCCCCGCUCCGCCCUCCUCCCCGCCCCGCCGGUUGUCCCUCCGUAAACGGAAGCCGAGGAGGGACGAAGGAGCCGGGGAGGAGGUUGGAGCAGCGCGAUGGGGGACUCCAAAGUGAAGGUGGCGGUGCGCGUCCGCCCCACGAACCGGCGAGUUUGUAAAUUCAUAGCGGCCGAGAGUCAUGAAUGCCUCACAACUGGUGACUGCAGAGCUAGAAAAUGGAAUGACAACAGCUCAGCAGCCGCUUUAGAGACAGCCAGCGUGGCUUCGCCGAGGGCAAAUCGUGCCCGACUAAUCCAGCGGCCUUCCAUGAUGGAGUGACGGCAUUAGAGGACGAGGGAAGAGCUACGGAUGUCACCUGCCUGGAGGACGUCAGUGAGGCACGGACAGUUUUGCAGGCAUCCAUGAGUGAAGGACCAGAGUACCUCAAUCUGUCCCUUCAACAAUCCUUCCCCGCUCCAUGUUUUCAAUUGGAAACCGCACCAGUGAGCUCCUAAAUCCAGGUAUCAUGUACACCAGUGAAGCGGAGGUCUGGAAGCAGAGACAGAAGCAAGGUCUAAGUAUCAGAGCUGGGCUUCAUUUUCCCAGCGGCGCCUCUGCAGAAGUGGAGCAAAACCAACAUGAUUCAGCAGAUGAAGCUGUAAAAUAUUCCAACCUUUGAAGUCAAGGCAGUUCAGCCCUGACCAUUCAUGUAUCUCAGAAGUACUAGGAGAUAAACGCGGGAAACAUUACACAGCUCGGUAAAUAUGCGUUCAUCAGAGUACCCGUAAUUGCCAUUGUGUUGGGAUUUUUGCUUUUAUAGAACUACAAACUUGUCUUACAACUGCUAGAAACGCUCUCCCGCUAAUUUUGUAUUUUUCAAGUUCUUCAGAGAUUCUCCAUUUUCUCCAAAGACAGAAAAUCUAUUUUCCUUUCAAACAAAGGAAAUCCAGUGUGGAGUCUUUACCUGAGGAAAGAAACUCUCAAAGAAAAUGUAACACGGCUGGUAAAACCAGUUGCUCUGAAACACUCUGUAUCAGCAAACUGAACAGCUGAUAAGAAUAAUAGAAAUUUUUAGUCAAUGAGAAAAUACUCAUCAGGAACCUCAUCCUACCAGCACAAAAUUUGCUAAUAUUGCCUGGCCUUGCGUUGCUGCCAGAAGUAUGAAUUUGUACUGAAAUCCCACUGUAUGGGAGAAGCACCCCAGCCAAAGUGUAAGAAAUUUCACUGCUAUAAACAGGGCACAUAUGGGGUUUAUGGAGACAUCGGGGUCUGGCUAUUGAUUUGUGCUUUCCUCUGGGUAAUACAUGUCCUAUAAUGCCAUGAGAUUUAUGACCAGGACUUUGAACUCUGGAAUAACUUUUAAAAAGAGGGGGCUGUCUAUAAAAAGUGUGGUUCGGGUUUUAAUCUGUUAUAAUCUAGUGCCGCAAGAAGACUUCGAGAGUUCAUUUAUUUGGCCGUGAAUACUUUUCACACUGAGACUAGGAGGCCACACUCAAAUACCUUCAAAAGUUCAUGCCAGGAUCAGUGAAAUUCAGAGUCACGAAUGACCCAGGGAACAAUCAAUCCUUUGAUUAUAGGAAGUUCCUAUUAAAAUAAUGGAGCACAGAAAGUGCCUUGCUAAAAUGAAUGUGAGUCUCCCAAACCUGUACAUUUGCGCAAAGUGUUGGCUGAGAAAUUUCAGCAAUUCCUUUUAAAAAAAAAAAAAAACCAAACAAACAACAAAAAACAAAAAGCAGACAACAUUUUGAUAUCAAGCAGAGUUUUGACAACUGAUUUGGAUAAAUUGAAUUUCUCUUUUAUCCAGAUUUCUUGACCUGUUCUUAAUACCAAUUUCCCUUGGUGCUUGCUUUCUUGAUUAUAGUUGAAAGAAAUUUAUAACAAAUCUAUCUUCUGUUUUCGCUUCUACGUACCUAUAAAUUUCUACUACAUUUAUAUAUUUGUAUCUCCAGACUGAAAAGCAAGAUAAACCUGAAGGCAAACUUAUCGUACCAGAAUAAAACUCUUUACUCCUGGGACUGGCCAAAACAACAAUCUAUGAAAAAUGCAAAACAGCAACAGGUCUUGUUUUUAAACUGUUUCGCCAAAUAUUUUUGUGCUGAGAACCUGAUCACUGAAGAUGCUAAAGUGCUGCUGGCUGCCCUGAAUGCCUCCCAGUCUCUGACUGGGACUGUCCCAGUUGGUGCUCAGCUUCUUGCAGAAGUGGACCCCUUAAGAGUUUGCAUACAACUAACUAAACACUAGUAAGAUCCUCUGUUUUAGUUUUCCAACACCUGAAUGAUUUAUGGGCAGAAAGUAGGUCUACUGCAAAUUCAUAAUUGAUGCGUCUCUUUUGAUACGCAGUCUAACAAAUGAAAAAAAAUAUUUAAAAUACAAUUGAUUUGUUACUUGUUAUGGACUGGAAGAAGACUUCCAAAAGACUGUCAUGUUUUCUGGCUUGCCCUGAGAUACAGUUCUAUCUAGAAGAUCCGAGAUCCAAACCAUUCAUACCUUCACCUAAAUAAAAACAAAAGCCAUCUUCUUCCCUUGGGUCCUGGUGAUACACACACCCCAGCCAUCCCAGUUAUGUGGGACACAUUAAACUGUUUUGACUUGGUUACUUCUAAACAAAACCAAUGAAAUUCAGUUGCUUAUAAAAAAAUGAGACGGAGGCCCUCUUUUUCUCUCCUCCACAUCACUGCUUUAAUCCCUGCUAUGACCAGGUGGGUGUAGCAAUGACUGUAGCUCCUCAACCUGAUGAAAAUAGUGUUGCAUUCAGAAAUUCGAUAAAUGAAUGGGAGGGACAAGUAAUGCUUCCCCCCCCCCCCCCCCCCCCCCCCGGAUGUUUUGUUAAUUAAAUUAGCAUUUAAAUAGCCAGAGCUAAUCUGGGAAGUCAGGCCCUCAUUACAGUAACUAGGAAGGGGGAAAAGAGCUGCAGACAAUUCCCUACAAGAUGGGGUUAAGUUGGCGUUUCACAAACUAUUUGCCCAGCCUGUCCCUCCCAAGUGAAAGCUGCCACCCCCCCCACCCCACCCCCCCUUUCCUCCCAGAAUAAUUAGCAUGUUCCAGUGCUGUGAAUGGAAACAAUAUCCUCCCUCCAAGCUGUGCCCCUCCAGGGAGAUGCUUCCCACAGAUUGUGAAACUCUGAGCCAGGGAAAGGGCUUGCCGAGGAAUUCACAGUGGGGUAAUUACACUGAGGUAGCUUGUGCCCGGUGCAAGAUAAGUUGCAUUACUGUAAUUCAUUGCAGGAGGCAGGGGCUCGCAUAAAGGAAAUGUCCAGAGGCAAGACUGCAGAGCCAUGAGAAGUCAUUGCCUUCCCAGAGCCCCGAUAAAACCCGACGUUGAAGCUGAGGAUGGUUCUUUGGCCUCCGAGGAUGUCUCCGUCUUCAGAGAAGUUUGCAGAACGUAGCAACGAUCACGUGCGAAUCUGGUUUCUCUUUGGCAAUUAGAAUGGAAGAAAGGUUGAAAGGGUGACUCAACAGAAAAAACAUCACCCUCCACUUGCGGCUCAUCAUGCCCAGCUGUAAAGCGGGGAUUAUAUUUAUCUCCAUUGCAAAGUACUCGGUUUCAGAAGACGCUGGUGCGGUUUGCUGAGGCCCCGGCUGGAAAAUACCACAAGAAGUUCAAAGCCCGGUUUCAUCCUGUAAUUGGAUCCUCAAGUCCACAAGUGCAAGAACCAACUGUGCGGGCUGAAAGCAGGUCCUCCCCUCUCCCAACAAGAACCCCACCACAACACGGGGCUGUGGGGCUGAGCUGCAAGCGUGGCAUACCCAGGAGCUGCUACUUUCUGCUGCUAUGCACAAAAAAAUGUUGUUUAAAGCUUUUGCCACCCUGUUUGAUCUGACCUGCUGUUAUUUUUUCUUUCUUUUUUUUUUUUUUUUAACUCUAAGACAUCUUCUUAACUCUCAUGCUCACUUGGGAUGCUCUUAAGAACAUGGACUUUAAUCCCAGUGUUACUUAAAUACCAAUUUAAUAUUUGUUUUCUCUCUGCCUUGACAAGAUAUUCCUCAGGUCAAGCAGGCAUGAAAUGAUAGAUAUUGAGUGCAAUUCUUCUGGGCAAGAAGAGCUACCUUCUAAAAUCUUAUCUCAAAACCACUUGGAAAUGUGUUCUUUAUUUAUUUAUGCCAUAAAAUCUCAUUCGAUGUUGAAGGCCCAAAGGAUUACAAUUCUGAAUUGGUUGGUUUGCUGUUUUGUUUUUUUUUUUUUUUUCUUUCCCCCUGUCCUUGCUGAAAUCUGGCCUUUCAAAAUAACACAGAGAGAAUCUUUGUUUUGAUCUAAAAUAGCAGCUGCAAGGGCUUUCAACCAUGACCAUUUAAAUGAGAUUUCUUUUUUUGCAUCUUCGCAUUAUAGUUUCAUUCUCGGUCUCUGAGAUCAGUAGCUGCGGUUGAGCAGCCGAGCCGUCUAAUGGGAAUAAAUUGUAAUAUUGUUCCAA